GGGGGUAUAGCUCAGCUGGGAGAGCAGCAGACUGAAGUUGACUUGGUUUCUGAAGGUCCCGCGUUCGAUCCGCGGUACCCCCA